rnacentral:rRNA from 1 species
AUGACAAGCACUUUGAAAAGAGGGUGAAAAGAACCUGAAACCGCCACGGGGGAAGCGGAUUGCGUUGGAUUGGUGGGUGCUUGCGUGUUCAGCCCGUUCGGGUGCAUUGGCGCAAGCACUUAUCCGCCGUGGGUUCUCGGCGGUCGAAUUUGGACCGCUGGGGGCUGAGGGCUCCCUUUCAUAGGUGAGGACGGCGGAGCGACGACGCGAUACGACCCGUCUUGAAACACGGACCAAGGAGUCUAGCGCGAGUGCGAGUCGGAGGGUGAAAGCCCGUGGGCGAAGUGAAAGCGAGUUUAAAAACUAGCAGUUUGGGGCGGCAUAAGAUCGUUGAUCUCAAGACCGACCCGGAGCAGUUGCGCUGGGACCCGAAAGAUGGUGAACUAUGCCGGAGUAGGGCAAAGCCAGAGGAAACUCUGGUGGAGGCUCGUAGCGGUGCUGACGUGCAAAUCGCUCGUCGAACUUGGGUAUAGGGGCGAAAGACUAAUCGAACCAUCUAGUAGCUGGUUCCCUCCGAAGUUUCUCUCAGGAUAGCGGGCCGACAUUGAGUUGUUUUGUGC